GACUUCGACGCGGACGUGCUAGCGGAUAUCCUGAUGCGCCUGCCGCCCAACACCCGCCGCCUGCUCCGCCUCGUCAGCCGGCACUGGCGCGACGUCGUCGGCGAACGCACCGCCACCAACCUGCGGAGCCGCGCCAAGAUACUCGUCGGCGCCACAGGCACUGCGUACAUCAUCGACAGCCUAUCGGCUCCAGGGAAGCCCAGAGACCUGUGCGGCACCUGCAACGGGCUCGUCUGCAUGUGCGACGACCAGAAACGCGGCGGCCCCGUCACCGUGGCCAACCCUGUCACCGGCGAAGCGCUGAGCAUCCCGCCGCUGCCACCGCCCCGUGCUGAUGAUGAAAGCACGUGCUACGAUAGGAGCUGGCACGCCGUCUACAGCUUCGCCUACCUCCCGAUCUCGGGGCUGUAUAAGGUUGUGCACGUCCCCUGCCACCUGGACCGGUCUGUUUAUGACAGGGUGCACGUGAUUACGCUGGGGGAGGCUUCGUGGCGGGGUGUGCCGGCCGGCUCCGGCGCCAGAUGUAGCCUCGGCGACAACGUUGUCAGCGUCGACGGCGUGACGUACUGGACCACGGCGGAGGCCGACAAGGUCAUGUCUUUCGACCUCGAGCACGAACGCAUCACGCACAUUAUGUCACUACCCUCCGCAGUGCGGUCCAGCUCCAAAAGCGGCGGCAAGUGGCACCUAGCAGACGUGCAAGGGAGGCUAGCCAUAGUCCUUACCCAGAUCUUGCCUUCAAUGGAGAGGACGAAGGUCUGGGUAAUGGAGGGUCGUACGGCGGGACAAAUCAGGUGGAGCUGCUGGUACAUUAUUCAGAUGAGAACACCGCAAUACCGGCUGCGGGAGCCGUCGAGAACAAAGCUGCAACGUCUCACGUGGCCGCUCCUCGUCCAGGACAAGCAGAUCCUCACAUGGGAGUGGUUGUUGUAUGAACGAGAUCGUGCCUUGUACAGGCACAAACCGACCGACGACGACACGAGGAAAACGAAGCAUGGGAUAGUGGAUAUCAGCGAGAGGAAUCGGGGGAUGGUGGUCGCCAACAUUAAUAUGUUGCCGCACCACAACGACCGUCAGACGUUCGCUUAUGUGGAGACCAAGGAACCAUUAAGUGCCUGC
rnacentral:rRNA from 1 species